CCGCUGCGGCGGCAGGUGGGGGCUCAGUCUUUCUAACCCUAAGCGAAAUGUGACCCCUCCCCGCUGCAGCCGUCCGCUGUUUUACUCGCUGACUUUCAGCGGACGGGGGGAGCGGGUGGAGACGCCAACCAAAAAACGUCAGCGAGGGGCCCUCCCCUCCCACGCCGACCUGGGCCUGUGGUGGGGCCCGCCAGCGAAGUCCCCGCCGCCCCGCCCCGGUGAGGCCGCGGUCAGCCGGCUCGCGCCACUGCUGCCGCGAAGAGUUCGUCUCUGUCAGCCUCGGGGGCGGCCGGGGUGGAAGGGCGGGUCCCGAGCCCGUCGGCCGGGAGAGCAAACGUGAGCGGCAGCCCCUGCGCCACCGCCCUCCCCUAAGCUGUGGGGCCCGCGGUCGGGGCUGCGCUCAGACACGC
rfam:Chelydra serpentina telomerase RNA gene, sequence.